GAUGAACGCUAGCUACAGGCUUAACACAUGCAAGUCGAGGGGCAGCAUGGUCUUAGCUUGCUAAGGCCGAUGGCGACCGGCGCACGGGUGAGUAACACGUAUCCAACCUGCCGUCUACUCUUGGACAGCCUUCUGAAAGGAAGAUUAAUACAAGAUGGCAUCAUGAGUCCGCAUGUUCACAUGAUUAAAGGUAUUCCGGUAGACGAUGGGGAUGCGUUCCAUUAGAUAGUAGGCGGGGUAACGGCCCACCUAGUCUUCGAUGGAUAGGGGUUCUGAGAGGAAGGUCCCCCACAUUGGAACUGGGACACGGUCCAAACUCCUACGGGAGGCAGCAGUGAGGAAUAUUGGUCAAUGGGCGAGAGCCUGAACCAGCCAAGUAGCGUGAAGGACGACUGCCCUAUGGGUUGUAAACUUCUUUUAUAAAGGAAUAAAGUCGGGUAUGGAUACCCGUUUGCAUGUACUUUAUGAAUAAGGAUCGGCUAACUCCGUG
rnacentral:rRNA from 1 species